rnacentral:rRNA from 1 species
UACAGAGGUCUCAAGCGUUGUUCGGAUUCAUUGGGCGUAAAGGGUGUGUAGGUGGCGCGCUAAGUCGGGUGUGAAAUUUCGGAGCUUAACUCCGAAACUGCAUUCGAUACUGGCGUGCUUGAGGACUGGAGAGGAGACUGGAAUUCAUGGUGUAGCAGUGAAAUGCGUAGAGAUCAUGAGGAACACCGGUGGCGAAGGCGGGUCUCUGGGCCGUAACUGACGCUGAGGAGCGAAAGCAUGGGGAGCGAACAGG